rnacentral:rRNA from 1 species
UACGAAGGGGGCUAGCGUUGCUCGGAAUCACUGGGCGUAAAGGGUGCGUAGGCGGGUCUUAAGUCAGGGGUGAAAUCCUGGAGCUCAACUCCAGAACUGCCUUUGAUACUGAGGAUCUUGAGUUCGGGAGAGGUGAGUGGAACUGCGAGUGUAGAGGUGAAAUUCGUAGAUAUUCGCAAGAACACCAGUGGCGAAGGCGGCUCACUGGCCCGAUACUGACGCUGAGGUGCGAAAAGCGUGGGGAGCAAGCAGGG